GACGAACGCUGGCGGCGUGCUUAACACAUGCAAGUCGAACGGAAAGGCCCUUCGGGGUACUCGAGUGGCGAACGGGUGAGUAACACGUGGGUGAUCUGCCCUGCACUUUGGGAUAAGCCUGGGAAACUGGGUCUAAUACCGAAUAGGACCACGCGCUUCAUGGUGUGUGGUGGAAAGCUUUUGCGGUGUGGGAUGGACCCGCGGCCUAUCAGCUUGUUGGUGGGGUAAUGGCCUACCAAGGCGACGACGGGUAGCCGGCCUGAGAGGGUGACCGGCCACACUGGGACUGAGAUACGGCCCAGACUCCUACGGGAGGCAGCAGUGGGGAAUAUUGCACAAUGGGCGCAAGCCUGAUGCAGCGACGCCGCGUGAGGGAUGACGGCCUUCGGGUUGUAAACCUCUUUCAAUAGGGACGAAGCGCAAGUGACGGUACCUAGAGAAGAAGCACCGGCCAACUACGUG
rnacentral:rRNA from 1 species